CCUGUGGAUCGUUACAUAAACGAAAGUAGUUGAAACGAAAACAUUUUUGUUUUAACAAAAUCGGACGGGAUGAAACAGGAA
rnacentral:ncRNA from 1 species